UAUUGUAGGUUUUUAGAAAUAAAAUUAAAAGGGAAAGAGGUUAAAAUCCUCUGCAGUCCCCGCUACUGUGAAGCUGAUGAAACUUUCAAAUGCCACUGUAAUGUAUAUUAUGGGAAGGGAAGGGAGUAAAAUGAAGCCAAGCCAGGAGACCUGCCUACAGUAAUUA
rnacentral:ncRNA from 1 species